rnacentral:tRNA from 1 species
ACUUUUUUAAUAUAGCUAAUUAUAGGUGACUUCCACUCACCCAACCCCAAAAAUUUGGGAAAAAGUA